UACGUAGGGUGCGAGCGUUGUUCGGAAUUACUGGGCGUAAAGGGCUCGUAGGCGGCCAACUAAGUCAGACGUGAAAUCCCUCGGCUUAACCGGGGAACUGCGUCUGAUACUGGAUGGCUUGAGAUUGGGAGAGGGAUGCGGAAUUCCAGGUGUAGCGGUGAAAUGCGUAGAUAUCUGGAGGAACACCGGUGGCGAAGGCGGCAUCCUGGACCAACACUGACGCUGAGGAGCGAAAAGCCAGGGGAGCAAACGGG
rnacentral:rRNA from 1 species